rnacentral:rRNA from 1 species
CCUACGGGAGGCAGCAGUGAGGAAUAUUGGUCAAUGGGCGCGAGCCUGAACCAGCCAAGUAGCGUGAAGGAUGACUGCCCUACGGGUUGUAAACUUCUUUUAUAAAGGAAUAAAACGAGGCACGUGUGCAUUUUUGCAUGUACUUUAUGAUUAAGGAUCGGCUAACUCCGUGCCAGCAGCCGCGGUAAUACGGAGGAUCCGAGCGUUAUCCGGCUUUAUUGGGUUUAGGGGUAGCGUAGAUGGGUUGUUAAGUCAGUUGUGAAAGUUUGCGGCUCAACCGUAAAAUUGCAAUUGAUACUGGCAGGCGUGAGUACAGUUGAGGUAGGCGGAAUUCGUGGUGUAGCGGUGAAAUGCUUAGAUAUCACGAAGAACCCCGAUUGCGAAGGCAGCUUACUAAACUGUGACUGACAUUGAUGCUCGAAAGUGUGGGUAUCAAACAGGAUUAGAUACCCCAGUAGUC